UAUUCAUGUAGUAAGUGUAAUAGUCUAUCCAAACGUGACCAACAGUGAAGAUGACCUCAGGUUCGGUACCAAGGAAACUGUACAAUUUAAAAUUCAAAAAGCUUUUAAAGAGACGUCUAUUUGUAUUCCAACUUUAGAAAAUGAUUCAAUUCUAGUGGACUGUGAAAAGUGUGCAGUUUUUCCUGUGAUGUUAUGUCAAGUUAACGCGACUAAGAAUGGA
rnacentral:sRNA from 1 species